AUACAAUUGCAGAUCUGUUCAAGAAGCUUUCCUAUGACCUUCCUAACAUAUAAAAUCUUUCCCUUCCAGACUGAGCUGGGAAGGAUGUCAUACUGAUGGAAACACAACCACAGAAGUUGCUUCUUUUCAUCUCAAAGUCCUGAAUAGCUGUUGAAGAGGACUGCCAUCAGCAUCCAGUUGUUCUUGUAGCAGCCUUGGCAAAUGAACCACCACUGCCUUUAAAUGACAAAAGACUGAGGUUGGAAGGGACAUCUGGAGACCAUCUGGUCCAGGCCUCUGCUCAAGCAAGGCCAUCUAAAGCUGAUUGCCCAGGACCACACCCAGUCGAUGUUUGAAGAUCUCCGGGAAGGAAAAAUACUCACAGUGUAAGUUUUUCAUCUAUAUUUGCUUAUCAGUGCCUGAAAGCCUUAUAAGACUUAAACCAGAGAAAUCUGGUAAUUCCAUGAUCAAAACCAGAUAGCUAACUAAAAAAAUAUCAUAAUCAUGAAAUUUGGCAGCUAAAUCAAAACUCCAGUUCUGUAGGCUGUUGUAGCUAUAUUGUCAACAGAGUACUGUGAUUCAUUCUGUGAUUCAUACUGCUGAGAGAAGGCCCAAAUUCCCACCUAUCAGUCAUAUAUUCUAGCCAGAGCAAUCCAUACAUUCUACCUUGGUCUGUAACACUUUAGUCCCAGUAAAAUAAUGGCUGGGGAAGCUUCUGAAUGAAUUAUAGCUUCUUGUUCCAGGUAGCUCCAGCAUCUUGCUCUGGCUUCACCCUGUAAGUAUGCUUGGAGAACGAAUUAUCCUUUCACUUUUUCCCAAUUACUAUUAAUUAACAGCAGUUUUUUAUCUAUGACUUUUCUGAGUCAGACUGAGAACAUCUUUAUGGCAGGAAUCAUAAGUCCUUUCCAUCUACGAAGAAGAGGACAAAUUUUUUGUAGGUCUACUGGCCAUGCACUGUCCAUAACUCUGUGUUAUUCUGUCCCAGUUAUUCUGAUCACUGUCUGAUCUCUACUUUCAGGGAUAAGGAGAGAGGAGGAACUCUGCAUUUACUAUAUUCCAUCACUGGUGAGACAGAACAUCUUUCUGGAAUCAGUGAAUCCCUUCUCAUCAACUUCUUGUUUGACCUACCUGCAAAUAUACUAUUUGGAUAUUGUUUCUCAGUCCUUCUAACCCCUUUUCUCUCUGGACCCUACUGGAAUCAAAUAGUCUUCCCUUCCUGAAAUACGCCUUCCUCAGGUUAUUCACAGAUCAGUGGGUUUUCCGGCUAAUACAGGUCCUGAUGCUCUUCUGUCUUCACACAUGGUAUUCAUCAUAUCUUGACAAGAAAAGACCUUCAGUCUACAAAUAACCUUCACUGAAGUAAGACAUUGGUUGUUUAAAUUAUUGGACUUCCGCAUAUGUUAUAUAUUUUCAUCUAUUUGAUUUGGAGAAGUGCAUUUUUAAUACCUCCAAGUAUAAUGUCUUGUAGAAGAUCUGGUAAGUAUAAAAUAUGAUAACUUCUCUACCCAAUGCAGGAAGUGUUUUAAGAUCUGUAGAUCUGUAAGAUCUUGCUGUGGGAACAACCAAAACUAUUUAAUAAAUACAUAUAUUUAAUUUCUUAAGUAAAAUUAUUGUUAACAGUUUCCCUUCUUUGGUGAACUGUAAAAUGUAAAUGUCUUUACAAAAUCAACCUUUUCUCAAGAAACCUCUGGUAAGAUGGGCCCUGUAAUGGUAUUUUCAACUUCAGAGCUGAAAAGAGUUAAAAAUGAGAAAUGCAUUU